UACGUAGGCAGCGAGCGUUGUUCGGAAUUACUGGGCGUAAAGAGUGUGUAGGCGGUGCUCUAAGUUCGGUGUGAAAUCUCCUGGCUCAACUGGGAGGGUGCGCCGGAAACUGGAGUGCUUGAGCGUGGGAGAGGAAAGCGGAAUUCCUGGUGUAGCGGUGAAAUGCGCAGAUAUCAGGAGGAACACCGGUGGCGAAGGCGGAUCUCUGGGCCAUUACUGACGCUGAGGAGCGAAAGCGUGGGGAGCGAACAGG
rnacentral:rRNA from 1 species